GCAGUCGAACGAACUCUGGUAUUGAUUGGUGCUUGCAUCAUGAUUUACAUUUGAGUGAGUGGCGAACUGGUGAGUAACACGUGGGAAACCUGCCCAGAAGCGGGGGAUAACACCUGGAAACAGAUGCUAAUACCGCAUAACAACUUGGACCGCAUGGUCCGAGCUUGAAAGAUGGCUUCGGCUAUCACUUUUGGAUGGUCCCGCGGCGUAUUAGCUAGAUGGUGGGGUAACGGCUCACCAUGGCAAUGAUACGUAGCCGACCUGAGAGGGUAAUCGGCCACAUUGGGACUGAGACACGGCCCAAACUCCUACGGGAGGCAGCAGUAGGGAAUCUUCCACAAUGGACGAAAGUCUGAUGGAGCAACGCCGCGUGAGUGAAGAAGGGUUUCGGCUCGUAAAACUCUGUUGUUAAAGAAGAACAUAUCUGAGAGUAACUGUUCAGGUAUUGACGGUAUUUAACCAGAAAGCCACGGCUAACUACGUGCCAGCAGCCGCGGUAAUACGUAGGUGGCAAGCGUUGUCCGGAUUUAUUGGGCGUAAAGCGAGCGCAGGCGGUUUUUUAAGUCUGAUGUGAAAGCCUUCGGCUCAACCGAAGAAGUGCAUCGGAAACUGGGAAACUUGAGUGCAGAAGAGGACAGUGGAACUCCAUGUGUAGCGGUGAAAUGCGUAGAUAUAUGGAAGAACACCAGUGGCGAAGGCGGCUGUCUGGUCUGUAACUGACGCUGAGGCUCGAAAGUAUGGGUAGCAAACAGGAUUAGAUACCCUGGUAGUCCAUACCGUAAACGAUGAAUGCUAAGUGUUGGAGGGUUUCCGCCCUUCAGUGCUGCAGCUAACGCAUUAAGCAUUCCGCCUGGGGAGUACGGCCGCAAGGCUGAAACUCAAAGGAAUUGACGGGGGCCCGCACAAGCGGUGGAGCAUGUGGUUUAAUUCGAAGCUACGCGAAGAACCUUACCAGGUCUUGACAUACUAUGCAAAUCUAAGAGAUUAGACGUUCCCUUCGGGGACAUGGAUACAGGUGGUGCAUGGUUGUCGUCAGCUCGUGUCGUGAGAUGUUGGGUUAAGUCCCGCAACGAGCGCAACCCUUAUUAUCAGUUGCCAGCAUUAAGUUGGGCACUCUGGUGAGACUGCCGGUGACAAACCGGAGGAAGGUGGGGAUGACGUCAAAUCAUCAUGCCCCUUAUGACCUGGGCUACACACGUGCUACAAUGGAUGGUACAACGAGUUGCGAACUCGCGAGAGUAAGCUAAUCUCUUAAAGCCAUUCUCAGUUCGGAUUGUAGGCUGCAACUCGCCUACAUGAAGUCGGAAUCGCUAGUAAUCGCGGAUCAGCAUGCCGCGGUGAAUACGUUCCCGGGCCUUGUACACACCGCCCGUCACACCAUGAGAGUUUGUAACACCCAAAGUCGGUGGGGUAACCUUUUAGAACCAGCC
rnacentral:rRNA from 2 species